rnacentral:tRNA from 1 species
ACCUUAUGGUCUAAUGGUUAGGGCAGCCGGCCGUGAGCCGGAUGACCCAGGUUCGAUUCCUGGUGCGGGUA